rnacentral:rRNA from 1 species
UACGGGGGGUGCGAGCGUUGUCCGGAAUCACUGGGCGUAGAGGGCGCGUAGGUGGCCUGAUAAGGGUGUGGUGAAAGUCCGGGGCUCAACCCCGGAUCGGCCGUGCCGACUGUUAGGCUAGAGUACUGUAGGGGCAGGCGGAAUUCCGGGUGUAGCGGUGGAAUGCGUAGAGAUCCGGAGGAAGACCGGUGGCGAAGGCGGCCUGCUGGGCAGUUACCGACACUGAGGCGCGACAGCGUAGGGAGCAAACAGG